GACAGAGGAUGCAAGCGUUAUCCGGAAUGAUUGGGCGUAAAGCGUCUGUAGGUGGCUUUUAAGUCUGCCGUCAAAUCCCAGGGCUUAACCCUGGACAGGCGGUGGAAACUACCAAGCUGGAGUACGGUAGGGGCAGAGGGAAUUUCCGGUGGAGCGGUGAAAUGCGUAGAGAUCGGAAAGAACACCAACGGCGAAGGCACUCUGCUGGGCCGACACUGACACUGAGAGACGAAAGCUAGGGGAGCAAAUGGG
rnacentral:rRNA from 1 species